GUUGGAAGACCACUAGUGUAGACAUUGUAAUAUGAUAAUGACAACCUUUUACAAACAUGAAAUUUGAGUAAUUUCUGCUAUUUAUUCAGUAACCUGGUGUAUCUGUUUUCCUCCCUGACAAGGAUUUGAAGCUUUCUAUGAAAUUUUUCCCAGCACUCUCAGCCUAACCUCAGUCUAAACCAGGAUAUGGCAACUCCUUUUGAAUAGAAGCUGUCUCCUCCCAGAACAAGCCUGUACGUCUCCAUAUGGAUCUACCUUUUAUCAUGGUCUUGAAGAGAAAGAGAGAUGUCUUCUUCCUGUGUUCCUGGACAUUCAAGCUUUCAUCUGGAGAAUUUCAUUAAUCCAACACAGCUUAGUUCCUACCCACCUUCUCGGUGCCAUUAAUGGAAAAUAUAUUACAUUUCUGUAUGUUACACAUUCAACAAAACAUUAUAUUCAUUUUGUUUUAUAUCAUUGCAUUUUAAUCACUUAAGA
rnacentral:lncRNA from 13 species